rnacentral:lncRNA from 1 species
UAUGUUUGAAGAGGAUCAGCCUAGGCCUAGCGCACCAGGUGGACCUGGUCAGGCUCCACGCCCUGCCGCUGGAGUGGCAACUGCCCGUCCAUGAAAAGUCACUGUUUCUGUGGUUCUAUUGUUGAGGAUGAUUAGACUUCUGAGGCUAUUUACUUUGGUUGUUGCCUUGCAUUAUUACCAUUUUGAUUUACAAUGCGUCUUCUUCUCUGGUUAUUACUUCUGUAAUAGUGUCAAUUUAUUUCAUACUAUAUAUAAUUUUGAGUAAGGCUAGAUUUUGCUGACCAUUUUGUAGUAGAUGUAGUAAUAUCAUGAUGAAUUGUGAACAAAUUAUACUGCAUGUAGUUAUUGCAGUAGUAGUAUCUUCUACACUAGCCUUAAAGUAGGUUAGGGUUUAUUGUGCAAAACUUUU